CCUACGGGGGGCAGCAGUGAGGAAUAUUGGUCAAUGGACGAGAGACUGAACCAGCCAAGUAGCGUGAGGGAGGACUGCCCUAUGGGUUGUAAACUUCUUUUAUAUGGGAAUAAAAUGUUCCACGUGUGGGAUGUUGUAUGUACCAUAUGAAUAAGGAUCGGCUAACUCCGUGCCAGCAGCCGCGGUAAUACGGAGGAUGCGAGCGUUAUCCGGAUUUAUUGGGUUUAAAGGGUGCGUAGGCGGAUUUUUAAGUCAGCGGUAAAAGGUCCGGGCUCAACCCGGGCCGGCCGUUGAAACUGGGGAUCUUGAGUGGGCGAGAAGUAUGCGGAAUGCGUGGUGUAGCGGUGAAAUGCAUAGAUAUCACGCAGAACUCCGAUUGCGAAGGCAGCAUACCGGCGCCCGACUGACGCUGAGGCACGAAAGCGUGGGGAUCGAACAGGAUUAGAUACCCUUGUAGUC
rnacentral:rRNA from 1 species